GGUAUAUAUUGGCGACAUUUAAUUUCCCCACUCACGGAAUACAAUCGACAAACUGGGAAUAGAAUAUCAAAUUUCGUCUAGCUUUUGGCGACUUAUGAUACCCCUUUCACCGGCAAACACUGAAUUAUCGGACAACAUGAAAUCAGGGACUAAAUUCACCAGCAUUCAUGAUCCUCGGACCACCCGCCCCCUACGCACAGCCGAUUUAUAAAUGUUGCAUCUUUCAAUCAGUGUCAAUCCCAAGAAGAACCCUGAUCAGCUCCUGGAAAAAUCAGUGUUCUUGCAGUAUUGUCAGUCAAAUCUCAAGGAAAGGAUCCCAGAAGAGGAACAUUUACAUUAUUUCAGACUUUUUUCUUUCCUGUGUAACAAUGCCUCAAACAGCUAACACAUUUUAUAUAGUAUACAAUACAAUGUGUAUUAAUAACAGUCCAGUUAGAGUGCUGUGUUAUGCAGUAAAAAUACUUAAUUCUUGAUGACAUGUUAGUUUUAUGUUUACAUUAAACGGUAGUUAUAAUAUAUACUAAAGAAACAUAGUGGAUAAUGCCUUGUACAGGAGCAGGAGUAUGACAGUGUAAUAGUACAUGACUGCUGCGUUCAUCCAUGGAAGGAGUCUGUUAUUCGAAAUAAAGCUUUCCAUGAGGACGAAAAA